rnacentral:lncRNA from 1 species
ACCCAGACCUAGUUCGCCCUCACAUCCAUCUCUCUCUGUUGCACUCCUCAGACUCAGCUCUGCCCUCAGACAUUUGUUCUGUCUUCAGGCUUGGCGUUUCUUUCUCCUGCCUGCUCAAAUUUGGGUUUAUUCUUUCUAGUAGAAUUUUAAAUUUAGUAAUGCUAUUAUGCUUUAGAUUUUCUGUUUUGUUUCUUUUUUAGGUUUUCUGUUUCUUCAAAGUCUUUAUUUAAUAAAUGACUGCCUGGUCCGCCUUAAAAGAUAGUUAAGUUUUUCUUACUUGUUGCUUUGAAUGAAUCAUUUUCUCAUUUAUGUGUCGUGUGUUUUGUUUUUUUUUAAACAAAAAACAAACAGAUGUUUCCAUUUAAUAAUGUGAUCAUGAAAUCAGAUUGUCCCAUUCCCUGGUGUUUGGUGUUUUGUUUUUUGUUUGUUGUUGUUGGAUUUGGGGGUGGGGUAGUUGGAGGUUUUUUGGUUGGUUGGUUGUUAUUGUUGUUUUGGUUUGUCUCAGUGUCAAGGACAAGUCUAGCCCAGGUGUUUCUGAGGUUGCACUUUAUUUGGUCAUACACCGGCUAUGUAAUUGUCCUUGUGCAUGCAGUGUUGUAGUUCUUAAUGUCGAUAAUUUCCAAACAGAGGUGGAAGAGAAAAACAUAAAAAGGGGUGGAGAUGAUAUCAGCCUUUCAAAACCAACUAGAAGUCAUUUCCGCCAGAGAGGGAGGGGUUUAUCUGGGUAGGUGAGGGUAUAUCACCAGUGAUUGCCCAUCUCUGAGUCUAGUUCUAUGAUCAGGCACAGCAGUUGGCAUUCAGAAGACAGGUUUCUUACUGCCCACCUUUGUUCCCAGAACCUUUUAAUAACUAUUUUAUAAAUACGUGCUCUGCAAACAGCUGCCUACCAAGCAGACCUAGUAGACAGGAAGGCGGGUAGUUACUUCUAAGCCGUGAAAUUAACUGAAAUCACCUGUAUUUACCUUACUUUCCAAGUCCUGCACAGGACAUUUGGAGCCUUUGAUAGGUCUUCAGAGUUCUAAAGAGUUAACACCAGAUUCUACCUGGGUAAUGUCUGAGUGGAAAAACGUAUUCCUAACACUAGGAUGGCCUUUUCCCAGAAGCUGGUGUUGACUGCUCGUAUGGCAAACUGUUGUGCUUUCCCACUUACUGAAUUUUUAUUUUUGAUCCUUUAGUGGGGUUAUAUUUCCCUUUAUGUAGAGUUUGUACAUUUACAAAGUGAUAGUUAUUCUUUGUUACCUAUAGCUUUUUUGGUUUCUAUUACAAUUAUUUUCUAUAUAACUACUUACUUCCUGGAUAUAAAGAUAUGAUUCACUUCUCAAAUAGCCACUUUUAAAUGAUUUCUUUUAAGUGUUUCCAACUUUUUACAGUUGGUCAAAUUAUCAAUUACCACGAUGGGUUUGACACCUUCUUAAAUACAUAUACCUGUUAUUUUCUUGUACAGUUGCACUUGUGUGUGCUUCUGGAAGACUUUACUCGACAGGAGAACGUUCAUGAGUGAUUAUGUUUCUGUGGUAGAACAAGUGGUCUCUAACUUUUUGUCUUUAUGAUGAGUCUAUCAGAACAUAACCUCGUGGAGAGUUCAUGAGCUCCAGGAUUUUGUUUAAUGAUAAUAUAGAAAUUUAAGAAAAUUGUUAUGGUAUGUGGUGUGUGAAUAUGGGUCUGUAGUAAUUGCAGUGCAUGUGUGGCAGUCCAGAGGACAAUUUUCGGGACUCAGUUCUCCCUUCCUUUAGGAGUUCUUCCAUGGUCUGACUUGUGCAACAUGCACUUUACCCACUGAGCCAUCCCUGCAUCUGGAUUUUAAAUAGUCAAUGUGGUUUUCAUAUUUUAUGAUGUGUUUAUCAGAGUAUUAAAUAAAUUUUCUCCUUACUC